rnacentral:rRNA from 1 species
UAGGGAAUAUUGGUCAAUGGAUGCAAGUCUGAACCAGCCAUGCCGCGUGCAGGAAGAAGGCCCUAUGGGUUGUAAACUGCUUUUGCCAGGGGAUAAAAUGGGCAUGCGUGCCUAAUUGAAGGUACCUGGUGAAUAAGCCACGGCUAACUACGUGCCAGCAGCCGCGGUAAUACGUAGGUGGCAAGCGUUGUCCGGAUUUAUUGGGUUUAAAGGGUGCGUAGGCGGUCCUGUAAGUCAGUGCUGAAAUAUCCCGGCUUAACCGGGAGGGUGGCAUUGAUACUGUAGGACUUGAGUAAAGUUGAGGUUGGCGGAAUUGACGGUGUAGCGGUGAAAUGCUUAGAUAUCGUCAAGAACACCUAUUGCGAAGGCAGCUAACUAAGCUUUAACUGACGCUGAGGCACGAAAGUGUGGGGAUCAAACAGGAUUAGAUACCCUGGUAGUCCACACUGUAAACGUUGAUUACUCGCUGUUGGCGAUACACAGCCAGCGGCUUAGCGCAAGCGAUAAGUAAUCCACCUGGGGAGUACGCCGGCAACGGUGA